UAGCAGAGAUGSUUUGGUGCCUUCGGGAACUCUGAGACAGGUGCUGCAUGGCUGUCGUCAGCUCGUGWURUGAAAUGUUGGGUUAAGUCCCGCAACGAGCGCAACCCUUAUCCUUUGUUGCCAGCGGUUAGGCCGGGAACUCAAAGGAGACUGCCAGUGAUAAACUGGAGGAAGGUGGGGAUGACGUCAAGUCAUCAUGGCCCUUACGAGUAGGGCUACACACGUGCUACAAUGGCGCAUACAAAGAGAAGCGACCUCGCGAGAGCAAGCGGACCUCAUAAAGUGCGUCGUAGUCCGGAUUGGAGUCUGCAACUCGACUCCAUGAAGUCGGAAUCGCUAGUAAUCGUGGAUCAGAAUGCCACGGUGAAUACGUUCCCGGGCCUUGUACACACCGCCCGUCACACCAUGGGAGUGGGUUGCAAAAGAAGUAGGUAGCUUAACCUUCGGGAGGGCGCUUACCACUUUGUGAUUCAUGACUGGGGUGAAGUCGAACAAGAAACCU
rnacentral:rRNA from 1 species